rnacentral:rRNA from 1 species
AGAGUUUGAUCCUGGCUCAGGACGAACGCUGGCGGCGUGCCUAACACAUGCAAGUCUACGAGAAUGAGGUAGCAAUAUCUCUAGUAAAGUGGCGCAAGGGUGAGUAAUAUGUAAGUAAUUUACCUAUGGGCUUGGAAUAACGUCGAGAAAUCGGCGCUAAUACCAAAUAAUGCAGCGGCACCACAUGGUGAUGUUGUUAAAGUUGCAGCAAUGUAACUCCUAUAGAUAAGCUUGCAGCUGAUUAGCUAGUUGGUAGUGUAAUAGACUACCAAGGCAACGAUCAGUAGCUGGUCUGAGAGGAUGAUCAGCCACACUGGAACUGAGACACGGUCCAGACUCCUACGGGAGGCAGCAGUGAGGAAUAUUGGGCAAUGGACGAAAGUCUGACCCAGCAACGCCGCGUGGAGGAUGAAUGCCGUAAGGUUGUAAACUCCUUUUGAGAGGGACGAAAAUUUUAUAUUUUCGUAAGGGGGAUAUAAUUUGACUGUACCUCUAGAAGAAAGCCCGGCUAACUACGUGCCAGCAGCCGCGGUAAUA